rnacentral:rRNA from 1 species
UACGGGGGGAGCAAGCGUUGUUCGGAUUUACUGGGCGUAAAGGGCGCGUAGGCGGCCACCGCAAGUCGACUGUGAAAUCUCCGGGCUUAACUCGGAACGGUCAAGUGAUACUGUCGGACUAGAGUACAGAAGGGGCAACUGGAAUUCUCGGUGUAGCGGUGAAAUGCGUAGAUAUCGAGAGGAACACCUGCGGCGAAGGCGGGUUGCUGGGCUGAUACUGACGCUGAGGCGCGAAAGCGUGGGGAGCGAACAGG